UACAGAGGGGGCGAGCGUUAUUCGGAAUUAUUGGGCGUAAAGGGCGCGUAGGCGGCUUUUCAAGUGACGGGUGAAAUCCCUCGGCUUAACCGAGGAACUGCCUGUCAGACUGGAAGGCUUGAGACCGGGAGAGGUGAGUGGAAUUCCCAGUGUAGCGGUGAAAUGCGUAGAUAUUGGGAGGAACACCAGUGGCGAAGGCGGCUCACUGGACCGGAACUGACGCUGAGGCGCGAAAGCGUGGGGAGCAAACGGG
rnacentral:rRNA from 1 species